GACGAACGCUGGCGGCGUGCUUAACACAUGCAGGUCGAACGGAAAGGCCCUGCUUUUGUGGGGUGCUCGAGUGGCGAACGGGUGAGUAACACGUGAGUAACCUGCCCUUGACUUUGGGAUAACUUCAGGAAACUGGGGCUAUUACCGGAUAGGAGCUCCUGCGCCUUGUUGGGGGUUGGAAAUUUUCGGCGGUUGGGGAUGGAAUCGCGGCUUAUCAGCUUGUUGUUGGGGUAGUGGCUUACCAAGGCUUUGACGGGUAGCCGGCCUGAGAGGGUGACCGGCCACAUUGGGACUGAGAUACGGCCCAGACUCCUACGGGAGGCAGCAGUGGGGAAUAUUGCACAAUGGGCGGAAGCCUGAUGCAGCAACGCCGCGUGCGGGAUGACGGCCUUCGGGUUGUAAACCGCUUUCGCCUGUGACGAAGCGUGAGUGACGGUAAUGGGUAAAGAAGCACCGGCUAACUACGUG
rnacentral:rRNA from 1 species